GUGCUUGCUUUGGCAGCACAUAUACUAAAUUGAAACGAUACAGAGAAGAUGAACAUGGGCCCUGUGCAAGGAUGACAUGCAAAUUUAUGAAUCCAUAUUUUU